UGGCGGACGGGUGAGUAACGCGUGGGCAACCUGCCCCAUACAGGGGGAUAACAGUUAGAAAUGACUGCUAACACCGCAUAAGCGCACAGGGCCGCAUGGCUCGGUGUGAAAAACUCCGGUGGUAUGGGAUGGGCCCGCGUCUGAUUAGCCAGUUGGCGGGGUAACGGCCCACCAAAGCGACGAUCAGUAGCCGACCUGAGAGGGUGACCGGCCACAUUGGGACUGAGACACGGCCCAAACUCCUACGGGAGGCAGCAG
rnacentral:rRNA from 1 species